GACGAACGCUGGCGGCGUGCUUAACACACGCCAGUCGAACGGAAAGGCCCUGCUUUUGUGGGGUGCUCGAGUGGCGAACGGGUGAGUAACACGUGAGUAACCUGCCCUUGACUUUGGGAUAACUUCAGGAAACUGGGGCUAAUACCGGAUAGGAGCUCCUGCCGCAUGGUGGGGGUUGGAAAGUUUCGGCGGUUGGGGAUGGACUGGCGGCUUAUCAGCUUGUUGGUGGGGUAGUGGCUUACCAAGGCUUUGACGGGUAGCCGGCCUGAGAGGGUGACCGGCGUCAUGGGGACUGAGAGACGCAGCAGUGUCCUACGGGAGGCAGCAGUGGGGAAUAUUGCACAGUGGGCGGAAGCCUGAGGCAGCAACGCCGCGUGCGGGAUGACGGCCUUCUGGUUGUAAACCGCUUUCGCCUGUGACGAAGCGUGAGUGACGGUAAUGGGUAAAGAAGCACCGGCUAACUACGUG
rnacentral:rRNA from 1 species